rnacentral:rRNA from 1 species
ACUCAAAUGAAUUGACGGGGGCCCGCACAAGCGGUGGAGCAUGUGGUUCAAUUCGACGCAACGCGAAGAACCUUACCUGGGUUAAAUCCAUUCGUAGACUGCAGAGAUGUGGUUUUGCCCUUCGGGGAGCGAAUGAGAAGGUGCUGCAUGGCUGUCGUCAGCUCGUGUCGUGAGAUGUUGGGUUAAGUCCCGCAACGAGCGCAACCCUUGUCGUUAGUUGGCAACAGUUCGGCUGGCCACUCUAACGAGACUGCCGGCGUUAAGCCGGAGGAAGGUGGGGAUGACGUCAAGUCCUCAUGGCCCUUAUGCCCAGGGCUACACACGUGCUACAAUGGCCGGUACAAAGCGUCGCUAACCCGCGAGGGGGAGCUAAUCGCAAAAAACCGGUCUCAGUUCGGAUAGGAGUCUGCAACUCGACUCCUUGAAGUCGGAAUCGCUAGUAAUCGCCAAUCAGCAGGUGGCGGUGAAUACGUUCCCGGGCCUUGUACACACCGCCCGU